rnacentral:rRNA from 1 species
ACGGAAGGCAGCAGUGGGGAAUAUUGCACAAUGGGGGAAACCCUGAUGCAGCGACGCCGCGUGGAGGAAGAAGGUCUUCGGAUUGUAAACUCCUGUCCCAGGGGACGAUAAUGACGGUACCCUGGGAGGAAGCACCGGCUAACUACGUGCCAGCAGCCGCGGUAAAACGUAGGGUGCAAGCGUUGUCCGGAAUUACUGGGUGUAAAGGGAGCGCAGGCGGAUUGGCAAGUUGGGAGUGAAAUCUAUGGGCUCAACCCAUAAAUUGCUUUCAAAACUGUCAGUCUUGAGUGGUGUAGAGGUAGGCGGAAUUCCCGGUGUAGCGGUGGAAUGCGUAGAUAUCGGGAGGAACACCAGUGGCGAAGGCGGCCUACUGGGCACUAACUGACGCUGAGGCUCGAAAGCAUGGGUAGCAAACAGGAUUAGAUACCCUGGUA